rnacentral:rRNA from 1 species
GAUGAACGCUGGCGGCGUGCCUAAUACAUGCAAGUCGAGCGAACAGACGAGGAGCUUGCUCCUCUGACGUUAGCGGCGGACGGGUGAGUAACACGUGGAUAACCUACCUAUCAGACUGGGAUAACUUCGGGAAACCGGCGCUAAUACCGGAUAAUAUAUUGAACCGCAUGGUUCAAUAGUGAAAGACGGUUUUGCUGUCACUUAUAGAUGGAUCCGCGCCGCAUUAGCUAGUUGGUAAGGUAACGGCUUACCAAGGCAACGAGGCGUAGCCGACCUGAUAGGGUGAUCGGCCACACUGGAACUGGAACACGGUCCAGACUCCUACGGGAGGCAGCAGUAGGGAAUCUUCCGCAAUGGGCGAAAGCCUGACGGAGCAACGCCGCGUGAGUGAUGAAGGUCUUCGGAUCGUAAAACUCUGUUAUUAGGGAAGAACAAAUGUGUAAGUAACUAUGCACGUCGUGACGGUACCUAAUCAGAAAGCCACGGCUAACUACGUG